AGGACGAACGCUGGCGGCGUGCUUAACACAUGCAAGUCGAGCGGAAAGGCCCUUCGGGGUACUCGAGCGGCGAACGGGUGAGUAACACGUGAGCAACCUGCCCUUAGCUCCGGGAUAGCUCCGGGAAACCGGAAUUAAUACCGGAUAUGACCUAGGCCGACAUCGGCUGUGGUGGAAAGUUUUUCGGCUGGGGAUGGACUCGCGGCCUAUCAGCUUGUUGGUGAGGUAAUGGCUCACCAAGGCGACAAUCCGUAGCUGGUCUGAGAGGACGACCAGCCACACCGGAACUGAGACACGGUCCGGACUCCUACGGGAGGCAGCAGUGGGGAAUAUUGGACAAUGGGGGAAACCCUGAUCCAGCGACGCCGCGUGUGUGAAGAAGGCCUGCGGGUUGUAAAGCACUUUUAGUGGGGACAAAAAGUCACGGGCGAAUACUCCGUGAUCUUGAUUUAACUCACAGAAAAGCACCGGCUAACUCUGCGCCAGCAGCCGCGGU
rnacentral:rRNA from 1 species